rnacentral:rRNA from 1 species
UCCGCAGGGGGUUUGCCAAGUCUGAUGUGAAAGCCCACGGCUCAACUGUGGAAUUGCAUUGGAUACUGGCGAACUAGAGUGCACGAGGGGUGAGCGGAAUUCUUGGUGUAGCGGUGGAAUGCGUAGAUAUCAAGAAGAACACCGAUGGCGAAGGCGGCUCACUGGCGUGUCACUGACCCUCAUGGACGAAAGCGUGGGGAGCGAACAGGAUUAGAUACCCUGGUAGUC